CUUUGGGAAACAUAUGUAAAACUUGUUUAAUGAAUAAAAAUAAUGUUGACCUGCAUAUUACUCAACAGUUGCAAAUCCCAAGAGAUAAGCUGAUACUUGAUAAAUGGUUGAGAAAUUGUACACCAGGUAAUGGGGCUCACAAUGAUAAUUGUUAUGGAUUAUUUUGAAUUUUACAGUUUUAAUACAAAAGUAUAAAGUAAUUCUUUUAUUAUAAGGAUGUGACUCAUACUAUUAAUAUUCCCAUGCAUUUAAAAAAAUUUCUACCCUAGAAUGUUAUGUAACUAAUACAGUCUUGCAGAUAAAAGCUGUAAUUGUCUAAGGGGAGUUGAAGCCCAUUACUUUUUUCUUUUUUUACAUUAAAUUAUACUUUCAUAAAGCACUAAAGCAAGUGAUGUUUACACACAAAUACAUUACAACCAUCUGUCAGUUAAUUCUAUAAUGAAGUAAAAGCGUUGAAUUCCCACCCAUUUUACAAAUCAUAGAAUAUUCCUGUGACUUCAAAGAAAAGACUUAAAAGAGGCUGUAUUAUAAACUGUAGCAGUAAAAAAUCUUUAAUGGUUAUUUUUCAUUGCAGGAAAACACUUUGGCUCCAAAUAUUCUGUUAAAGCAAACAGCAUUUUUUUCACUGCACAUGGAUUUCAAGAAAUGUGGAUAUAGCCUGGCAAAUGGCCAAGUAAGAGGCAGCUCCCAGCAAGAAGAGACACAAAAGCUGAGUGGUCUCCACAAUCCCAAACAAGGUACCAGGUUCAUUUUGUUGGUCUGGUUGGGCAGUGGGUAUAAAACAAAUAGGGCCAGUUGAGGCAAGGCAGGGCACUGCCCUACCCAGGAGGUGGGUGCAACUGACUGGAGGACUGGGGAGAUCUCCCCCUCUGGGACCAAGAGCAAAAAAACUCAAAAGCUAGCAGAAGAGAAUAAAUAACUAAGAGCAGAACUGAAGGAGAUAGAGACACAAAAAAAAAUCGUUCAAAAAAUCAACAAAUCCAGGAGCUGGGUUUGUUGAAAAGAUCAACAAAAUAGACCACUAGCCAGACUAAUAAAAGAGAGAAGAAUAAAAUACAUACAAUAAAGGGGACAUCAUCAUCAUUUCCACAGAAAUAAAAACUACCACCAAAGAUGACCAUAAACAACUCUAUGCACACAAACCAGUAAAUCUGGAAAAAAUUGAUACAUUCCUGGACACUUGCACUCUCCCAAGACUAAACCAGGAAGAUGUUGAAACCCUGAGUAGACCAAUAACAAGGGCUGAAGUUGAGGCAGCAAUUAAUAGCCUACCAACCUAAAAAAGUCAAGGUCCAGAUGGCUUUACAGCUGAAUUCUACCAGACA
rnacentral:lncRNA from 1 species